ACAGGUCACCAAGACAGAAUUGCCCAAGGCCACCAGCAUCAUUGUGGAAUCCUCCAGCUCUUCAUUGGUGACCAUUCUACAGGCUGUGCGGAGUCCAGGAAGGGCUGAUAAUUUCUCCUUCACUGUAGAUGAGUCUGUGAGAAACCUGACUGCUUAUGUUACAGGAAGCUCCCUCUCCUUCACUCUCACCAGCCCCUCAGGUGUGUCCCAGAGUAGCGGGGAGGUAAAUGGGUCUCUGGCAACGAUUAAAACCGUGGGGAACUUCCUCACACUGGGGCUGGACAGCCAAGCGGGAUUAUGGGAAAUCAGUGUGUCGGUCAACUGUGCCCUACUCACUGAAGGUCGUAGGUCAGAGCGCCAUCGACUUCCUGUUUGACUUUGUGGAGGUGUCCCAGGGACCUCAUCCAGCCUUCGCUGUUUUAGAGUCCCGUCCUCAAGCUGGCGGUAAUGCCACCCUGCUGGUGUCAGUGACGGGAGUGAAUCUGUGAGUCUGACGGAGGUGGCCCUGGUUGAGGCCUCGGGGUCAGGGGAGGUCAGUGGAACCUUGGAAUCAGUCGGCAGCGGAGACUUCCUGGUUACCAUGGACAGAAUCCCGGAUGGGGAGUUUGUUGUGCGUCUGAGAGGAGAGAACAGCGCCACCACCAGGGCAUUACCAGACAGCUUCCAGAGACAGUCCUCCACCCGCCUCAGAGCCUCCACUGUUAUGGUGACGGCUAAGGCAGAAAGUGACCUGGAGCCUGGAACACCCUUUUCAGUCCUGUUCACUGUGACAACCAACGGAACAGGC